GAUGAACGCUGGCGGCGUGCUUAACACAUGCAAGUCGAACGAGGAUUUAACGGAAUGCGAUUCGUCAAAUGAAAUUAAAUCCGAGUGGCGGACGGGUGAGUAACGCGUGGAUAACCUGCCUCACACAGGGGGACAACAGUUGGAAACGACUGCUAAUACCGCAUAAUACAAGUAAUUCGCAUGAAUAACUUGCCAAAGAUUAUAUCGGUGUGAGAUGGAUCCGCGUCUGAUUAGCCAGUUGGCGGGUAACGGCCCACCAAAGCGACGAUCAGUAGCCGACCUGAGAGGGUGACCGGCACAUUGGGACUGAGACAC
rnacentral:rRNA from 1 species